CAGGACGAACGCUGGCGGCGUGCCUAAUACAUGCAAGUCGAACGGUCUUUCUAUGGAAGCUUGCUUCCACUGAGAAGAUAGUGGCGAACGGGUGAGUAACACGUGGGUAACCUGCCCAUAAGAGGGGGAGUAACAUCCGGAAACGGGUGCUAAUACCGCAUAGUUUUCUUGAUUGCAUGAUUGAGAAAGGAAAGACGGCCUUUGUGCUGUCGCUUAUGGAUGGACCCGCGGCGUAUUAGUUAGUUGGUGAGGUAACGGCUCACCAAGACGAUGAUACGUAGCCGACCUGAGAGGGUGAUCGGCCACAUUGGGACUGAGACACGGCCCAAACUCCUACGGGAGGCAGCAGUAGGGAAUCUUCCGCAAUGGACGAAAGUCUGACGGAGCAACGCCGCGUGAGUGAAAGAAGGUUUUCGGAUCGUAAAACUCUGUUGUCAGAGAAGAACAAGUUGGAGAGUAACUGCUCCAGCCUUGACGGUAUCUGACCAGAAAGCCACGGCUAACUACGUGCCAGCCGCCGC
rnacentral:rRNA from 1 species